GGCUUUGUUGGGAAAUUAUUAUUUUGAAGUUAAUUUAGAGACGUUCGAUUCGUUUGAGGGCUU
rnacentral:tRNA from 1 species